rnacentral:tRNA from 1 species
AGCAUGUUAGCUCAGGGGAAGAGCGCCGGGCUCAUAACCCGGAGGUACGUUUCACCGCAAUCAAUUUCACCAAAAAAACAUCAAACUAACUCGCAACAGGACCCUGGAUCGAAACCAGGACAUGCUA